ACAAGCGAGGAGAUUUCCCAGCAGAAACCCUCCUUGACAGGCCACAAGUCUCCAGCUGCUUGCACAGGGCUUGCCACAGAGCUCCCUGGAGCCCAGGGCCAAACUCCCUGGAAAAGCCUCAGGCUGGGAUCCAGCCCGUGUCCCCUGAGAAUGCAGAUGGGAAAGAUGAGCUGCAACAGCUUUGCCACCUCCUGCCCGUGUGGGGUCUCAGAGGAAUGUGCCCAGCAGGAAAUGUAGGGAGGCACAUCACAGACCCAGAAACACAUUGGCACAUGCACAGAGAACUGUCCCUUUUACCACCUCCCGCAGGCCAGGUCCUAGACGCACACCCUUUAUGCAAAUCCCUACUCCCCCGCCCCCCCUCCACAACUCUGGCUCCCUGCUCAAAUAGCCACCCUGGGGCACUCAGGGUCACUGACCAAGGAACUAAGCUUCCCUCCUGAGCUGUGGGCUCCCCUCCUGCAGCACCAUGACUGUCCUACUGUGGCCCCUACUCCUUCUGUCCCUGGCCCCACGGGUCCAGUCCCAACUCCAGCUCCAAGAGUCUGGCCCGGGGGUUGUGAAGCCUGGGGAGCCCCUCAGCCUGACCUGCACCGUCACUGGUGGCUCUAUCACCAGCAGCGAUUACUGGGCCUGGGUACGCCAGGACCCUAGCAAACAGCUGGUUUUCAUGGGAAGAUGGAGCGGUAACACAAACUACAACCCAGCUUUCCAGAGCAGAAUCACCAUCUCUGUGGACUCCUCCAACACCAAGUACUACCUGAAGCUCAGCUCCCUGACAGCUGCAGACACGGCCAUGUAUUACUGUGCUCGAUACACACAGUGACACAGAGCACAGCAGGGGCUGCACAAGAAGGGGAAGCAGGUUUGAAGCAGGUGGUCAGAGCCCUGAGACAGCAACUUCCCCAGCAGCAGCUGAGGGAAGCGCUGACCAAGGGCUGUGGGUCAUGGGAUGGGGAAGGGAAAGGAAAGUCCAUCUCUCUUACAUGAAAUCCCUGAAGAUUUGGCACUCACCAGGACCCUUUGGAAGAGGAAGGAGGGCUGCUGUCUUCUGCCGGAGCACUCUGAGAGGAUCUAACUGCCUAGCUGUCCAUAAGGUGGAUUUGGGGUGGAGUACAUGCCUCCUACUGCCUUGCCUAAUCCCACCACCUACAAGGCCAACCUUCCUAUCCCUUAACUACCUACCUGUUCAGCUGAGUGCAUUGCCUGUAGGCCAAGUAGGGAUUUCUUUCAAAGGGGACAUGCAAGUGUUUCCAGCCUGUCGUCUCUUAUACCCACCUAGGAAAUCCAAAUCCAAAUCUCUGCCCCAGGCACACCUGGUUAAAUACAACCCCUGGACUCUAUAAGCAAGGUUCCCUCUAAGGUGCACAUGUGCGUAGCUGCUCACAAAAAAAAAAAAAAAAAUCUUGCCCCACAUUAACUUUGUAAAGCCGCACACCUGCCCAGAGAGGAGCUGGGCUACUCCUCACCACGCCAGCAUCCCUGCAGGGAGAGAGAGCGGCACGGGGCAGGCAGCGUCUCCUCCCCGAGGUGAGGCAGGAGUGGGGACAGGGGCUGGGGCAGAGCUGGGUACCGCGCGGGCUCCGCUGGCUCCGGGGAACUGCUCCGCUCCCCAGCCCCUUUGGGUGAACUUCACCCCAAGCCCCAAUGCCAUGUGCCUCUUCACUGCCUGGUGGCAAGACAUACAAGUCUCCAUGUGGCUUUCAAAGGCUGUGGAGGCACGGAGGCAGUGUUAAUCAUUUUUGAAAGAGUGACGAAAUCUGCCAGAUCGGGCAGACCAGGCAUACCUCCAGUGUUUCACAGUACCGGAGAGCUUUACACAGUAUAUUAAAUGAUGUUAUUUAUGUAUGUUACAUGAAAUCCAGUCUCUUUUGUAUGCUCUCCUCAGGUGGAGAAUUAUACAUAAACCUUUCUGUUUUGGUAGGGUUAUUUAUUUAUUUAUUUAUUUAUAUAUUUAUAUAUAUUUUUUUUUCUUUUUAAAUAAAAUAUACAAUAU